AUGAGAAUUACCUGCCGGAGACAAGUCUGGCGCUCCUUGAAACACGAGGAUGAUAACGAUAAAACCAAAGGAAACAGAACUCCAGCUUUAUGUUGUUCACAGUAUAGGGCACGACUGUCGUGUAGCUAUCAGUUAGUACAAGAACUGGUUUGUGGAUAUAAUGCCGGUUUAUGUGAAUGCAGGGCUGGUUGUAGCAGGUGGCAACAUGGAGGUGAUUCUGAGUGUUGUUCUUCUGCAGAUAUGAACUUGAUGCUUGUAUAUCCAUACAAAUAUUGA